UAUACCAGUUGCCUUGUUUUCCUGGAUAGUUGCCCUUUUAACACUGGGAUGGAUAAUUUACCAAAAACUGAACGUUUAUGGAUCAACAGAGAAUAACUAUCAAAGUAUCUUUUAUACUGUAUCCUGUUCACGGGAAACCGCCUGCCUGUCAACCUUUUCCUUUAGUUUGCCCCUCCUUGAUAUUCAUUUUGCCAGCAUACUCUCUCUUCUUCUGUGCGGGGUCGGCUGUCGGAUUCUUUGGGCUGUCAU